GGGCCCAUAGCUCAGCCUGGUUAGAGCGACCGGCUCAUAACCGGUCGGCCAAGGGUCCGAAUCCCUUUGGGCCCACCA
rnacentral:tRNA from 1 species